rnacentral:rRNA from 1 species
UACCGCAUACCUUCUCUUCACCGCAUGGUGAGUUGAAGAAAGAUUUAUCGCUCUAGGAGGGUCUCGCGGCCUAUCAGCUAGUUGGUGAGGUAAUGGCUCACCAAGGCAUCGACGGGUAGCUGGUCUGAGAGGACGAUCAGCCACACUGUGACUGAGACACGGCCCAGACUCCUACGGGAGGCAGCAGUGGGGAAUUUUGGACAAUGGGCGCAAGCCUGAUCCAGCCAUGCCGCGUGAGUGAAGAAGGCCUUCGGGUUGUAAAGCUCUUUCGGCCGGGAAGAAAUCGCAUGGGUCAAUACCCUGUGUGGAUGACGGUACCGGAAUAAGAAGCACCGGCUAACUACGUGCCAGCAGCCGCGGUAAUACGUAGGGUGCGAGCGUUAAUCGGAAUUACUGGGCGUAAAGCGUGCGCAGGCGGUUUGGUAAGUCAGAUGUGAAAUCCCCGGGCUCAACCUGGGAACUGCAUUUGAGACUGCCAAGCUGGAGUUUGGCAGAGGGGCGUGGAAUUCCACGUGUAGCAGUGAAAUGCGUAGAGAUGUGGAGGAACACCGAUGGCGAAGGCAGCCCCCUGGGCCAAUACUGACGCUCAUGCACGAAAGCGUGGGGAGCAAACAGGAUUAGAUACCCUGGUAGUCCACGCCCUAAACGAUGUCAACUAGGUGUUGGGAGGGUUAAACCUUUUAGUGCCGUAGCUAACGCGUGAAGUUGACCGCCUGGGGAGUACGGCCGCAAGGCUAAAACUCAAAGGAAUUGACGGGGACCCGCACAAGCGGUGGAUGAUGUGGAUUAAUUCGAUGCAACGCGAAAAACCUUACCUACCCUUGACAUGUCAGGAAUCCUGGAGAGAUCUGGGAGUGCUCGCAAGAGAACCUGAACACAGGUGCUGCAUGGCUGUCGUCAGCUCGUGUCGUGAGAUGUUGGGUUAAGUCCCGCAACGAGCGCAACCCUUGCCAUUAAUUGCCAUCAUUCAGUUGGGCACUUUAAUGAGACUGCCGGUGACAAACCGGAGGAAGGUGGGGAUGACGUCAAGUCCUCAUGGCCCUUAUGGGUAGGGCUUCACACGUCAUACAAUGGUCGGUUCAGAGGGUUGCCAACCCGCGAGGGGGAGCCAAUCUCAGAAAGCCGAUCGUAGUCCGGAUCGCAGUCUGCAACUCGCCUGCGUGAAGUCGGAAUCGCUAGUAAUCGCGGAUCAGCAUGUCGCGGUGAAUACGUUCCCGGGUCUUGUACACACCGCCCGUCACACCAUGGGAGCGGGUUCUGCCAGAAGUAGUUAGCCUAACCGCAAGGAGGGCGAUUACCACGGCAGGGUUCGUGACUGGGGUGAAGUCGUAACAAGGUA